rnacentral:rRNA from 1 species
UACGUAGGGGGCAAGCGUUAUCCGGAAUUACUGGGUGUAAAGGGAGCGUAGACGGUAAUGUAAGUCUGGAGUGAAAGGCGGGGGCCCAACCCCCGGACUGCUCUGGAAACUAUGUUACUAGAGUGCAGGAGAGGUAAGCGGAAUUCCUAGUGUAGCGGUGAAAUGCGUAGAUAUUAGGAGGAACACCAGUGGCGAAGGCGGCUUACUGGACUGUAACUGACGUUGAGGCUCGAAAGCGUUGGGAGCAAACAGG